UUUCCGUAGGUGAACCAGCGGAGGGAUCAUUACCGAGUUUACAACUCCCAAACCCCAUGUGAACCUUACCAAACGUUGCUUCGGCGGGAGGCCGCGGGCGCGUGCCACAAGUCCUCAGCCCCGGAACCAGGCGACCGCCGGCGGCCCAAACCGAACUCUUGUUUUUGUAGAAUCUUCUGAGUGGCCUUUUAGGCAAAAAAUGAAUCAAAACUUUCAACAACGGAUCUCUUGGUUCUG
rnacentral:misc_RNA from 1 species